rnacentral:rRNA from 1 species
GCAAGUUUUUAAGGGCGCACGGUGGAUGCCUUGGCAUCAGGAGCCGAUGAAGGACGCGGUAAUCUGCGAUAAGCCUCGGGGAGCUGAUAAACGAGCUGUGAUCCGAGGGUCUCCGAAUGGGGAAACCCCACUACGUGUUAUGCGUGGUGACCCGCACCUGAAUUCAUAGGGUGUGUGGAGGGAACGUGGGGAAGUGAAACAUCUCAGUACCCACAGGAAGAGAAAACAACAGUGAUUCCGUCAGUAGUGGCGAGCGAACGCGGAAGAGGCCAAACCGAUGGUGUGUGAUACCCGGCAGGGGUUGCAUCAUCGGGGUCGUGGGGCGUGUCGUCCCGGGUCUGCCGGCCCGGGCGUGUGAGUGCAGGGCGAUAGUCGAACCGGUGUGAGUGCCGGACCGGAGAGGGUGAGAGUCCCGUAGACGAAAUCGUUGCUGCCGCACGGUACGCGUACCCAAGUAGCACGGGGCCCGAGAAAUCCCGUGUGAAUCUGCCAGGACCACCUGGUAAGCCUAAAUACUACCUGAUGACCGAUAGCGGACUAGUACCGUGAGGGAAAGGUGAAAAGCACCCCGACGAGGGGAGUGAAACAGAUCCUGAAACCGGACGCCUACAAGCAGUCGGAGCCGCCUUGCGCGGUGACGGCGUACCUUUUGUAUAAUGGGUCAGCGACUUACAUUCAGUGGCAAGCUUAACCGAGUAGGGAAGGCGCAGGGAAACCGAGUCCGAACAGGGCGAAUAGAGUCGCUGGGUGUAGACCCGAAACCAGGUGAUCUAUCCAUGGCCAGGAUGAAGGUGCCGUAACAGGUACUGGAGGUCCGAACCCACUACUGUUGCAAAAGUAGGGGAUGAGCUGUGGAUAGGGGUGAAAGGCCAAUCAAACACCGUGAUAGCUGGUUCUCCCCGAAAUGCAUUUAGGUGCAGCGUUACGUGUUUCUUGCCGGAGGUAGAGCUACUGGAUGGCCGAUGGGCCCUACAAGGUUACUGACGUCAGCCAAACUCCGAAUGCCGGUAAGUGAGAGCGUAGCAGUGAGACUGUGGGGGAUAAGCUUCAUAGUCGAGAGGGAAACAGCCCAGAUCGCCGGUUAAGGCCCCUAAGGGUGUACUAAGUGGAAAAG